rnacentral:rRNA from 1 species
CAGCCGUAAACUAUGCUCGCUAGGUGUCAGGGACGGUGCGACCGUUUCUGGUGCCGCAGGGAAGCCGUGAAGCGAGCCACCUGGGAAGUACGGUCGCAAGGCUGAAACUUAAAGGAAUUGGCGGGGGAGCACUACAACGGGUGGAGCCUGCGGUUUAAUUGGAUUCAACGCCGGAAAUCUUACCGGGACCGACAGCAACAUGAAGGCCAAGCUGAAGACUUUGCCGGAUUAGCUGAGAGGUGGUGCAUGGCGUAGUCGUGU